UACGUAGGUGCAAACGUUGCUCGGAAUCAUUGGGCGUAAAGCGCGCGUAGGCGGUUACUUAAGUCGAAUGUGAAAGCCCUCGGCUUAACUGAGGAAGUGCAUCCGAAACUGAGUAGCUAGAGUACGAAAGAGGGUCGCGGAAUUCCCGGUGUAGAGGUGAAAUUCGUAGAUAUCGGGAGGAACACCGGUGGCGAAGGCGGCGACCUGGGUCGAGACUGACGCUGAGGCGCGAAAGCGUGGGGAGCAAACAGG
rnacentral:rRNA from 1 species